UCCGUAGGCGGUGCGGCAAGUCGGAAGUGAAAUCUCUGGGCUUAACCCAGAGGCUGCUUCCGAAACUGCCGUGCUAGAGUGCGAGAGAGGCGAGUGGAAUUGCGGGUGUAGCGGUGAAAUGCGUAGAUAUCCGCAGGAACAUCCGAGGCGAAGGCGGCUCGCUGGAUCGCAACUGACGCUGAGGGACGAAAGCUAGGGGAGCAAACAGGAUUAGAUACCCUGGUAGUCCUAGCCCUAAACCAUCAGGACUUGGGGUUUGCCCUGUACGGGGCAAGUCCCGUAGCUAACGCGUUAAGUCCUGCGCCUGGGGAGUACGGUCGCAAGGCUGAA
rnacentral:rRNA from 1 species